rnacentral:rRNA from 1 species
ACGGGAGGCAGCAGUGGGGAAUAUUGGACAAUGGGCGAAAGCCUGAUCCAGCGACGCCGCGUGAGUGAAGAAGUAUUUCGGUAUGUAAAGCUCUGUCAGCAGGGAAGAUAAUGACGGUACCUGACUAAGAAGCCCCGGCUAACUACGUGCCAGCAGCCGCGGUAAUACGUAGGGGGCAAGCGUUAUCCGGAUUUACUGGGUGUAAAGGGAACGUAGACGGUAUGGCAAGUCUGAUGUGAAAACCCAGGGCUCAACCCUGGGACUGCAUUGGAAACCGUCAAACUAGAGUGCAGGAGAGGUAAGUGGAAUUCCUAGUGUAGCGGUGAAAUGCGUAGAUAUUAGGAGGAACACCAGUGGCGAAGGCGGCUUACUGGACUGUAACUGACGUUGAGGCUCGAAAGCGUGGGGAGCAAACAGGAUUAGAUACCCUGGUA